AUUGAACGCUGGCGGUAUGCUUAACACAUGCAAGUCGAACGAGUAGCUACUUCGGUAGCGAGAGUGGCGGACGGGUGAGUAACGCGUAGGAAUCUGCCUGUUAGUGGGGGACAACGUGGGGAAACUCACGCUAAUACCGCAUACGCCCUACGGGGAAAGGAGGGGAUCUUCGGACCUUUCGCUAACAGAUGAGCCUGCGUUAGAUUAGCUAGUUGGUGGGGUAAAGGCCUACCAAGGCGACGAUCUAUAGCUGUUCUGAGAGGAAGAUCAGCCACACUGGGACUGAGACACGGCCCAGACUCCUACGGGAGGCAGCAGUGGGGAAUAUUGGACAAUGGGCGCAAGCCUGAUCCAGCAAUACCGCGUGUGUGAAGAAGGCCCUAGGGUUGUAAAGCACUUUCAGCUGGGAAGAUAAUGACGGUACCAGCAAAAGAAGCCCCGGCUAACUCCGUG
rnacentral:rRNA from 1 species